rnacentral:sRNA from 1 species
UAGACAAACGUCCUCCUCCUACCUACCCU